GAUGAACGCUGGCGGCGUGCCUAAUACAUGCAAGUCGAGCGAACGGACGAGAAGCUUGCUUCUCUGAUGUUAGCGGCGGACGGGUGAGUAACACGUGGAUAACCUACCUAUAAGACUGGGAUAACUUCGGGAAACCGGAGCUAAUACCGGAUAAUAUUUUGAACCGCAUGGUUCAAAAGUGAAAGACGGUCUUGCUGUCACUUAUAGAUGGAUCCGCGCUGCAUUAGCUAGUUGGUAAGGUAACGGCUUACCAAGGCAACGAUGCAUAGCCGACCUGAGAGGGUGAUCGGCCACACUGGAACUGAGACACGGUCCAGACUCCUACGGGAGGCAGCAGUAGGGAAUCUUCCGCAAUGGGCGAAAGCCUGACGGAGCAACGCCGCGUGAGUGGUGAAGGUCUUCGGAUCGUAAAACUCUGUUAUUAGGGAAGAACAUAUGUGUAAGUAACUGUGCACAUUUUGACGGUACCUAAUCAGAAAGCCACGGCUAACUACGUG
rnacentral:rRNA from 1 species